rnacentral:misc_RNA from 1 species
AUAUUUCUUUAUCUGCAACAGUGACUCACACAGUGGAAGUAAGCUGCUCCCUGCCAAACAGUCUCCCAUGGUGCAAUGACUUCCUUAAAUACCACUUUAAGUGAGGAGUGGAUACAUUGCAUUGUGCCAAGGGCUUAUUUUAAGCAGACAUAAUCAGAAACAUUGAUCCCAAGAACUCUCAACUACUUUCUUUUAUUUGUAUGCAAUAUAUUCUUCUUCCACCAAUUAAUAAUUAUUGCAAAAUGAGAAUGUGCUAAAUUAGCUCAUGCCUCAAGAAUUCAAGA